GAUGAAGAACGCAGCGAAAUGCGAUAAGUAGUGUGAAUUGCAGAAUUCAGUGAAUCAUCGAAUCUUUGAACGCACAUUGCGCCCCUUGGUAUUCCAUGGGGCAUGCCUGUUCGAGCGUCAUUUGUACCUUCAAGCCUUGCUUGGUGUUGGGCGUUUGUCUCGCCUCUGCGCGCAGACUCGCCUCAAAACAAUUGGCAGCCGGCGUAUUGAUUUCGGAGCGCAGUACAUCUCGCGCUUUGCACUCAGAACGACGACGUCCAAAAGUACAUUUUUACACUCUUGACCUCGGAUCAGGUAGGGAUACCCGCUGAACUUAAGCAUAUCAAUAAGCGGAGGA
rnacentral:misc_RNA from 1 species